rnacentral:tRNA from 1 species
GUAAGUUUGAAGUUUUCGUUAAUGAUUUGAAAUCAUAAAUUAUUAUCCAUAGUAGAUAAGUCUUACU